UUUAAAUAAAUGAUUACAAAGCCCAGUCGAAUUGUAAUCAAGACCAGUCGAAUUGUAAUCAAGACCUUGAUUACAAUUCGACUGGGCUUUGUAAUCAUUUAUUUA